rnacentral:rRNA from 1 species
UACGUAGGGUGCAAGCGUUGUCCGGAUUUAUUGGGCGUAAGGAGCUCGUAGGCGGUCUGUCGCGUCGGAUGUGAAAACCCAGGGCUCAACCCUGGGCCUGCAUUCGAUACGGGCAGGCUAGAGUUGGUGAGGGGGAGACUGGAAUUCCUGGUGUAGCGGUGAAAUGCGCAGAUAUCAGGAGGAACACCGGAGUGGCAAGGCGGUCUCUGGGCCAUACUGACGCUGAGGAGCGAAAGCGUGGGGAGCGAACAGG